CGGAGGGUGCAAGCGUUAUCCGGAUUCACUGGGUUUAAAGGGUGCGUAGGCGGACAGGUAAGUCAGUGGUGAAAUCUCCGAGCUUAACUUCGGAAACUGCCGUUGAUACUAUCUGUCUUGAAUAUCAUGGAGGUAAGCAGAAUAUGUCAUGUAGCGGUGAAAUGCUUAGAUAUGACAUAGAAUACCGAUAGCGAAGGCAGCUUACUACAUGUUAAUUCGACGCUGAGGCACGAAAGCGUGGGGAGCAAACAGGAUUAGAUACCCUGGUAGUCCACGCCCUAAACGAUGGAUACUCGACAUCAGCGGUACACUGUUGGUGUCUGAGCGAAAGCAUUAAGUAUCCCACCUGGGAAGUACGACCGCAAGGUUG
rnacentral:rRNA from 1 species